GACGAACGCUGGCGGCGUGCCUAAUACAUGCAAGUAGGACGCAGUUGCGAACGGGUUAGUAACGCGUAUGUAACUACCUAUUAGAGGGGGAUAACUAUUGGAAACGAUAGCUAAUACCGCCUACUAGUAGAUGGACCUGCGUUGUAUUAGCUAGUAGGUAGGGUAAUGGCCUACCUAGGCAACGAUACAUAGCCGACCUGGGAAGGUGAUCCGCCAAACUGGGACUGGGAAACGGGCCAGACUCCUACGGGAGGGAGCAGUAGGGAAACUUCGGAAAUGGGGGGAACCCUGACCGAGCAAAGCCGGGGGAGUGAAGAAGGUUUUCGGAUCGUAAAGCUAUGUUGUUAAGGAAGCGGUACUUAACCAGAAAGGGACGGCUAACUACGUGCCAGCAGCCGCGGUAAUAC
rnacentral:rRNA from 1 species